AAUAAUGAAUGCAAUUUAAGUGCUCAAAGAUUCUUUUGAGUUAAAAGGGAAAUCGGUGGAAAUCCGAUGCAGCCCCCGCUACUGUAAGUAUGGAUGAAAUUGUCAUAUACCACUGGAAUAAUCCGGGAAGGGACAAGAGUAAGGUGAAGUACAAGCCAGGAGACCUGCUUUAAUUGUUGAAUUCUA
rnacentral:ncRNA from 1 species